AUUCCUACGGGGCGCAGCAGUGAGGAAUAUUGGUCAAUGGGCGCGAGCCUGAACCAGCCAAGUCGCGUGAGGGAGGACGGCCCUACGGGUUGUAAACCUCUUUUGCCGGGGAGCAACGGGCGUCACGUGUGGCGCCACUGAGAGUACCCGGAGAAAAAGCAUCGGCUAACUCCGUGCCAGCAGCCGCGGUAAUACGGAGGAUGCGAGCGUUAUCCGGAUUUAUUGGGUUUAAAGGGUGCGUAGGCGGUAUUUUAAGUUAGUGGUAAAACGUCGGGGAUU
rnacentral:rRNA from 1 species